UACGAAGGGGGCUAGCGUUGUUCGGAAUUACUGGGCGUAAAGCGCGCGCAGGCGGUUUCUCAAGUCAGUGGUGAAAGCCCGGAGCUCAACUCCGGAACUGCCAUUGAAACUGUGAAACUUGAGGACGAGAGAGGUGAGUGGAAUUCCCAGUGUAGAGGUGAAAUUCGUAGAUAUUAGGAAGAACACCGGUGGCGAAGGCGGCCAUCUGGCUCGGUACUGACGCUCAGGUUCGAAAGCGUGGGGAGCAAACAGG
rnacentral:rRNA from 1 species